CCUACGGGUGGCAGCAGUGGGGGAUAUUGCACAAUGGGGGAAACCCUGAUGCAGCAACGCCGCGUGAGUGACGAAGGUCUUCGGAUUGUAAAACUCUGUUCUUGGUGAAGAUAAUGACGGUAGCCAAGGAGAAAGCUCCGGCUAACUACGUGCCAGCAGCCGCGGUAAUACGUAGGGAGCGAGCGUUAUCCGGAUUUACUGGGUGUAAAGGGUGCGUAGGCGGCCGUGCAAGUCAGGCGUGAAAGCCAUGGGCUCAACCCGUGGACUGCUCUUGAAACUGUAAGGCUUGAGUGAAGGAGAGGUAGGUGGAAUUCCCGGUGUAGCGGUGAAAUGCGUAGAGAUUGGGAGGAACACCAGUGGCGAAGGCGGCUUACUGGGCUGUAACUGACGUUGAGGCACGAAAGCAUGGGUAGCAAACAGGAUUAGAUACCCGGGUAGUC
rnacentral:rRNA from 1 species